rnacentral:rRNA from 1 species
AUACGGAGGAUGCGAGCGUUAUCCGGAUUUAUUGGGUUUAAAGGGUGCGUAGGCUGUGCGUUAAGUCAGGGGUGAAAUGCCGUCGCUCAACGACGGAGCUGCCCUUGAUACUGGCGUGCUGGAGUACGGAUGCCGUUGGAGGAAUGAGUGGUGUAGCGGUGAAAUGCUUAGUUAUCACUCAGAACACCGAUUGCGAAGGCAUCGGUCGAAUCCGUCACUGACGCUGAGGCACGAAAGCGUGGGGAUAGAACAGGAUUAGAUACCCUGGUAUUCCACGCCGUAAACGAUGAUGACUAACCGUCGGCGAUAGACAGCCGGUGGCCAAGCGAAAGCGAUAAGUCAUCCACCUGGGGAGUACGUCGGCAACGAUGAAACUCAAAUGAAUUGACGGGG